rnacentral:rRNA from 1 species
AGCUUUAUGCACUUAUAAUAUAAAGUAACUCCUGCCCAGUGAACUCAUUUAACGGCCGCGGUACCCUGACCGUGCAAAGGUAGCAUAAUAAUUUGUCUUGUAAUUUAAGACUGGAAUGAAUGGAAGCACGAAAAAUCAACUGUCUCCAAUAGUUAAUUGAAAAUUAGACUUUCAGUGAAGAUACUGAAAUAAAAAUAAAGGACAAAAAGACCCUACAAAGCUUCACUAAAAAAUUACCCCCGAUUUUAUUAUAUAAACCUAAAAAUUUUUAAGUUUUGUUGGGGCGACAAAGGAUAAAUAUAUCAUCCUUCUAAACUUAGAUUAUAAAUCUUCAUAAAGAAAACUUUAAAGUACUAAUAAUAAAAGCUACUUUAGGGAUAACAGGCUAAUCCCCUUAGAGAGUCCAAAUCAACAAGGGGGCUUGGCACCUCGAUGUUGGCUUAGGAACCCUUCAGGCGUAGCAACUUGAAAAGGUUGGUUUGUUCAACCAUUAAAUUCCU